CCCUGGUUAGUUCAGUUGGUAGAGCGCUCCACUUGUAUAAUGGAGAGGUCCCGGGUUCGAUACCCGGACCAGGCG
rnacentral:tRNA from 1 species